rnacentral:misc_RNA from 1 species
CCUAGAGUCCUAUCUCUCCCAAACAGCUGCAAAUUACAUAUAUUUGUUUCUCCAAGGAAAAUUAUCAUGCACUUUCAUCGUCUUUUUGGUCUUGCCUCCACUUUCAAGUUUGUAAACGUCCAGCAUUUCUUCUUCUAGGGGAUGUGUGUUGCCCACAAUUACAAGACAAUGCAAGGGUGCUCCAAAAUCAACUGCCAGCAGUUGCUUCAUUGUCCCAGCAACUAUCAUCUGAUCCUCACUUCCCAACCGAGCAAAGCCAACACAGCUAGUGUCUUCAUUGUACGCAGAUUCCCCACAUUUUUGCUCAAUCUCCAAGAGUUGAUCAAUUGCAUUGUCUAUAGUCAUGUAUCUAGGGGGUUCAUACUUCUUCCUUCCUCUGGACAAGGAUUCCCAUGAAGGUUCCUUUACUCGUAUAUCCAACAAACAAAGUGUAUGCAAUCCAAGUUCACGAUUUCUUCUUAUCUUUUCAUAAAAGCUAUCAGGUCUCCAAUUAUCAGUAAAAAAAAAAGGGAUUGAAACAGUAGCGAUAUAAUUGUAAUCCACAAAUCCCAACCGCAUUCAUCACAGACGCAUUGUGUACCACUUUGACAUCAACCCCCAAUUCCUUAGCUCGAACAACAAGAUCUGUAUGUGUUGUAGCUCCAAAAGGAUCUCCAACAACAAGGAAAGCAACAUCAGAAGUACGAGCUGAUGACAAUAUAUCAUCAGCCUUCUCUUCUACCAUCUCUCUAUCAGCAAUGGCAAUUGGUUUCCCAUACAAAUUUUCCAGAGUGGAAAGUCCAUCAAUGGAGAGACCAAAGGAGAGAAGAGAAGUGUAGGCUUCCAUGUACACCUUCUCACAUUUCUGCACAGCUUCUAGACCUCUUAAAGUAAUAUCCUUCUCAUCUCCCAAUCCUAGACCUAUUAUGUACAACAUCUUCUCUUGCUUAUCUGCUAAACCCUAGAUAUUAUGCAAGAACGUUGGAAACAAACCUUUUGUAUCUUCAAUUCAGUCAAAGAAGUACUCUUGCUGCCCAAUCGCUCCUAGCCUCCUAAAAGAGCUGAAACACUAGUGCUGCCUGCAACUGCUAUUUUGUUU